GACAGAGGGGGCAAGCGUUGCUCGGAAUUACUGGGCGUAAAGGGCGCGUAGGCGGGACGGAAAGUCGGUCGUGAAAUCCUCCGGCUCAACCGGAGAACGGCGAUCGAUACUUCCGUUCUUGAGGGUUGCAGAGGAGACUGGAAUUCCCGGUGUAGCGGUGAAAUGUGUAGAGAUCGGGAGGAACACCGGUGGCGAAGGCGGGUCACUGGGCAACUCCUGACGCUGAGGCGCGAAAGCGUGGGGAGCAAACGGGAUUAGAUACCCCGGUAGUCCACGCUGUAAACGAUGAGCACUAGGUGUGGGAGGGUUCAGUCCCUUCCGUGCCGCAGCUAACGCAUUAAGUGCUCCGCCUGGGGAGUACGGCCGCAAGGUUGAA
rnacentral:rRNA from 1 species